CCCCAAUCUCAGAAAUCGUAAUUGUUUGGCCAGUUGCACUAUAUCUAUGUGCUGUUUUAUAUAGAUUAAAUACUGAAUCGGUAUCUGAAAGACUUUCAGUGAAUUAUGUCUAACCAUGCAUAAUAAGUAAAUUUAUAAGUAAUAAUAACGAGCAAUAAGGUCAUAUUGAAUAAGCGAAAAGAUUAAUAAGAAACAUAUAUGAAAACCACAAAAAACUUUUAUCGAGAUUUUCAUAAAAG